rnacentral:rRNA from 1 species
UGGCGGCGUGCCUAAUACAUGCAAGUCGAACGCACAGCGAAAGGUGCUUGCACCUUUCAAGUGAGUGGCGAACGGGUGAGUAACACGUGGACAACCUGCCUCAAGGCUGGGGAUAACAUUUGGAAACAGAUGCUAAUACCGAAUAAAACUUAGUGUCGCAUGACACAAAGUUAAAAGGCGCUUCGGCGUCACCUAGAGAUGGAUCCGCGGUGCAUUAGUUAGUUGGUGGGGUAAAGGCCUACCAAGACAAUGAUGCAUAGCCGAGUUGAGAGACUGAUCGGCCACAUUGGGACUGAGACACGGCCCAAACUCCUACGGGAGGCUGCAGUAGGGAAUCUUCCACAAUGGGCGAAAGCCUGAUGGAGCAACGCCGCGUGUGUGAUGAAGGCUUUCGGGUCGUAAAGCACUGUUGUAUGGGAAGAACAGCUAGAAUAGGAAAUGAUUUUAGUUUGACGGUACCAUACCAGAAAGGGACGGCUAAAUACGUGCCAGCAGCCGGG